rnacentral:rRNA from 1 species
UACGUAGGGGGCAAGCGUUGUUCGGAAUUACUGGGCGUAAAGGGCGCGUAGGCGGUACGACAAGUCAGGAGUGAAAGCCCGGGGCUCAACCCCGGAACUGCUUUUGAAACUGUCGAACUAGAGUGCAGAAGAGGCAACCGGAAUUCCCAGUGUAGCGGUGAAAUGCGUAGAUAUUGGGAAGAACACCUGAGGCGAAGGCGGGUUGCUGGGCUGACACUGACGCUGAGGCGCGAAAGCCAGGGGAGCGAACGGG